rnacentral:misc_RNA from 1 species
AUUCACACCUAUCCAAAUGAAGCCGAGCUAAUUUCAUUGUGCACAGCAAUCACAAUCCAAGUUCGGCAAAAACCAAUUUCAUUGCCUCCAAAGAUAAAUAAUUUCUUGUAGAUUAAUAUUGAGACCAACUAUUGAAAUGGUUUGCUUACUUAUGUCAAAAACAACAAAAAAUUUUCCCUGUUCCGAAAGAGGGUGUCAACAGUACUAAAAGAUGUGAGCUCAAUAUGACAGUCAAAUAAAAAAACAUGUCAGUGUUUCUAUUUUUAAGUUGUUAGGCAACUCAUAUACAAAUUGGAAAAGUUGAUAUUCAUCUUGUUUGAAAAUCAUUCAGGUCAUAUCAUCAAGAUACCUCUGGUCAAAGGUGCAAAAACAAAAUAUCAAAAAAUAUACAAUUUGGUUCUAGCAUUACUCAUUUUUUCUUGCCUUUAGUUGCGAGUUUGAAUGUUCUCAUGGUUUGAAGCAAAAAAUGUUUCAUAUUGAAUUCUAAGAACUUGUACCAUUGCAUAACAUAUUAAAAUUAACCUACUUGUGCUUUAGGGCAAGUAAAACUUGGGAAAAAAUUUUCAAAAUUAACCAUAAAAAAUGUUACUCCAACCUACCACUUGUUCUAUAUAAACUCACCAUAAUAAAUAUUUUCACUUGUUAUCAUUAUUGAGAAAAAUUACAAAUGGUAAUCGUGGUUGUUGUUGGCAUCAUCGAAAUGAGGAAGCAGAACUUCAGCUUCAAUCCUGCCAUUGUUUUUAUCUAGAGGAAGUAGAACUAAGUAUCCUAUGUUUGGAGCAUUGAAUUGAGGAAGAAAGCCCCCUGGAGGCUCCAUCAUCAUCUUGUAAAUGAGAAGUAAAAAGGGGAAGGAUAAGGAGUUGAGCUACCAUGGUAGAGGGAAAAAAAAAGAGAGGACAGGAGACUGUAUAAGGAAGAAGAAAAAUGAGGUACAGUUGGGGAAAGAGAGCGAUGUUAUGGCCAAGGGAUGGGAUGAGCUAGAUG